rnacentral:snoRNA from 1 species
GGGAUAUGAUGAGUGGUCAUUACUCGCAACGCGUUGCGAGAUGGGUGUCCGCCCCACGCCUGGUUACGACAACCUGGGCACUCCCAUUUUUACCAUCUGAUCCC